ensembl:lncRNA
GUAAACCUCAAAAUUCCUUAGACUUAUAAAUGUUGGAAAUUUCACCAUUGGGAUAUUUCAUACUUGGAAAAUUUCUUACUGAUAGUCUAUUGGAAUGGGAACCCCAUUGGCAUGGGAGGUUCCUUCUCUUCCCUUCUUAAGAUUACUUUAGGACAGAAACCUUUUGCUGAACAAUGGAAAGAACUUUGACCUAUGCUUAAGCAUAGAACAGGAAUUUCUUUGAAUCAUGAUUUGAUUUUAGAAUUGAUACAAUGGAGAUACUUGGAAUAAAUCUCCACCCUAUUCAGUCCUAACAGGAUUGAGUAAGGGCUGCAGCCUAGAUCAAAGAUUUAAUCAUUUGAAAAUAUGACCUUCAACAGACAUGUGCAAAAGCCAGAAACCUCUGGGCGGUCCUGGGUUAAGCUAGAGCCUCCAUUGGCACAGGGAAAUUGAUGAACAGUGAUUGGUAGAUGGGAGAACUGAGAGGAGGAACUUGGAGGGUUUCCUUAAAGAUAGGAGGGUCUGGAGACUUGAGGGGGGUUGAGGAGUUUGGUCGGGGUGAUUGCGGUGGACUCGGAGAAGCUUGCGCUGAAAGAAACAGUCUCAGGGGCCUCCACCUCCAGCUUCCUUCAGAGCAAACUUCUCAAAGCACCACCUCUCAGAGCAAAAACCUCUCCAACCAACCACCCCUCAGUCCUCAGACCCCUCUAUCUUUAAGGAAACCAUCUCAGUUCCCUCCCCUCUGUUCUCACAUCUACCAAUCACUGUCCAUGUCUUCCCUGUGCCAAUGGUGGCUCUAGCUUAACCCAGAACCACCCAGAGGUCUGUGACUUUGCACAUGUCUGUUGAAGGUCAUAUUCUCAAAUAAUUAAAUCUUGAUCCUUUGCUGCAGCCCUUCCUAAAUCCUGUUAGGACUGAGUGGGGUGGAAAUUGUAUUUUCCAAGACCUGGUUCUGUCAUUCCAAGUAUCUCUAUUGUAUCAAUUCUAAAAUCAAUCAUGACUCAAAGAACUUCCUGUUCUAUGCUUAAGCAUAGGUCAAAGCCCUUUCCAUUGUUCAGCAAAAGGUUUCUGUCCUAAAGUAAUCUUAAGAAGGGAGGAGGAGGAACCUCCCAUGCCAAUGGAGUUCACAUUCCAAUAGAGUUCCCACUAUCAAUAGGAAAUUUUUCAAGUAUGAAAUUUCCCAAUGGUGAAAUUUCCAACAUUUAUAAGUCUAAGAAAUUUUAAGGUUCACAGAUAGCAGAGGAAAUAAGUUAUUCCAGCAAAAGAAGAACAAGUAAUUCAACAGCAAGAACACUCCUAAACUUGUAGUAGUUUCAAAUUCAUAACUAGGACAGACACAAAGAUCUAGAAUGCUGGAGAAGCAUGGAUUCACAUUGGUUGAAUCUGUUGUAACAUGACUUUAACAGCAAUAUAUAGUUGAGAACUAAGAAAAAAAAAGGUUAUACAUGUCUCUCAACCUUUAUCCUAAAACAGUCUAUACCAGGGGAAGGAAGGGAGAGAGGGUAUAACAUGAAGAUAUUAUUUCAUAGUUUCAGAUAUCUCAGUAGACAUAACAAUGUGAUCAUGUCAUCAGUGACGAUACAUAUACUGAUGACAUCCGAGAAAAAGUCCUAGUCAUGAACUGCAACACGAAUAUCCCAAGAAGAAAGCAAUAUGAAGCCUGGUGAAUGUAAACCUACUGAGAACAAAGGAAAGCACUGGAGAGUACUA